CGGCGGACGGGUGAGUAACACGUGGAUAACCUACCUAUAAGACGUGGGAAUUAACGUUACGGGAAACCGGAGCUAAUACCGGAUAAUAUAUUGAACCGCAUGGUUAAAUAGUGAAAGACGGUUUUGCUGUCACUUAUAGAUGGAUCCGCGCCGCAUUAGCUAGUUGGUAAGGUAACGGCUUACCAAGGCAACGAUGCGUAGCCGACCUGAGAGGGUGAUCGGCCACACUGGAACUGAGACACGGUCCAGACUCCUACGGGAGGCAGCAGGC
rnacentral:rRNA from 1 species